rnacentral:rRNA from 1 species
GGGGAGUAAUGUCUGGGAAACUGCCUGAUGGAGGGGGAUAACUACUGGAAACGGUAGCUAAUACCGCAUAACGUCGCAAGACCAAAGAGGGGGACCUUCGGGCCUCUUGCCAUCGGAUGUGCCCAGAUGGGAUUAGCUAGUAGGUGGGGUAACGGCUCACCUAGGCGACGAUCCCUAGCUGGUCUGAGAGGAUGACCAGCCACACUGGAACUGAGACACGGUCCAGACUCCUACGGGAGGCAGCAGUGGGGAAUAUUGCACAAUGGGCGCAAGCCUGAUGCAGCCAUGCCGCGUGUAUGAAGAAGGCCUUCGGGUUGUAAAGUACUUUCAGCGGGGAGGAAGGCGAUAAGGUUAAUAACCUUGUCGAUUGACGUUACCCGCAGAAGAAGCACCGGCUAACUCCGUGCCAGCAGCCGCGGUAAUACGGAGGGUGCAAGCGUUAAUCGGAAUUACUGGGCGUAAAGCGCACGCAGGCGGUCUGUCAAGUCGGAUGUGAAAUCCCCGGGCUCAACCUGGGAACUGCAUUCGAAACUGGCAGGCUAAAGUCUUGUAAGAGGGGGGGUAGAAUUCCAGGUGUAGCGGGUGAAAUUCGUAGAGAUCUGGAGGAAUACCGGUGGCGAAGGCGGGCCCCUGGGACAAAGACUGAC